rnacentral:rRNA from 1 species
GUAGGGAAUAUUGGACAAUGGGCGAAAGCCUGAUCCAGCCAUGCCGCGUGAUAGAUGAAGGCCCUCUGGGUUGUAAAUAUCUUUUAUCUGGGAAGAAACUCCUCUAUUCUUAGAGGCCUGACGGUACCAGAGGAAUAAGCACCGGCUAACUCCGUGCCAGCAGCCGCGGUAAUACGGAGGGUGCAAGCGUUAUCCGGAUUCACUGGGUUUAAAGGGUGCGUAGGCGGGUUGAUAAGUCAGUGGUGAAUGCUCCGGGCUUAACUUGGAAACUGCCAUUGAUACUGUCAGUCUUGAAUGUCGUAGAGGUAAGCGGAAUGUUGCAUGUAGCGGUGAAAUGCUUAGAUAUGUUACAGAACACCAAUUGCGAAGGCAGCUUACUAUGCGAUAAUUGACGCUGAGGCACGAAAGCGUGGGGAGCAAACAGGAUUAGAUACCCCAGUAGUCC